CCAAUCUAGAGCAUGAUAAGUGUAUACAAUAGAUUUACCUAUUAUAAAGUAUAUAUUUAAUUAUUUAAUUAACAUAGUCUGAAAAUUACUAAUAUAUAUAAUGAUGCUCUAGGUAUUAUUAAUCAUGAUCAUGACUAUGUACCAAUGGAUUUGGUACACAAUGAUAAUGGUAUGUAUUCAACCGUUUGAGGAAUACAAAAUAGUAUAAGUAAUUAUUAUUUUUUUAAAAAAAUAAAUAUUUUACCGGAGCCCAUCGAAAAUUAUAAUCCAGAACCCAAAGAGCUUACACAUGAAAUCUUUAAUUUUUUGGAAAAGCCCAAGACUUAUAAAAUAGUUUUUGGUACGCAAAGAAGAACAGAAAUCAUAUGGGAUAAUUUGAGCUUCCUUUAUUAAAAAAAUAAAAAAACUUAGAACAAAAUAUACUUGGUAUGUCUUGAAAAAAAAUCAGAAAAUUCAUGUCAAGCAACUGCUCAUAUAUCUUCUGACCAAUAUGAUAACAAAUUGAUUUUGUGUAAACAACACAAUCAUAAAGUAAGGCCAUUCAAUGAGGAGGUAUCAUUAUUGAGGCAAACGUUAACAGAGAAGGCAUUAAAAAAAUCCUUAUGUUCAUAUUCCUCUUGAGGAAUAUACAUGGAAGAGAUUGUCAAGUAAUACAUAUUCUUUAUACUAUUCUACAAAUGAAAUAAAUGUCCUUCAAUAAUUACAAUUUGUUUAUCUGAAAAAUGUAAGAUAUUCCAAAUACUGCCCUGCAAGACUUCAAGUUUUUACAAGGGUCUGAAAGGAUGCAUCGUCUGAGGCAAAAGUCAUUUCCUGCAACACCUGAUGAUGUUGAAGACCUUCAUAUUUUACUAAUGGCAAAUAGCCAAUUUACAUUAACACUAAAAAAUCCAUCAAAUAAAGUGUUCCAUUGGUGUAUGCGAUACUAUCAGGGAAAACCGAGAAAUACAUGUUGAGUUGCUGUCAUACAUCAGAAAUGUUUUACUAUUAACAUACAUCCAACUCAUAAUAAUAACUGAUUAUGAAUAUGGAUUGAUGAAUGCAAUAAAAACUAUAUUCCCUAAAAGCGAUAAACAAGAGUGUUAUUUCAUUUUUUCCAGGCAAUAAUACGUUUCAUGAGAAAUAAAAAAACUAGUAUAUACCACUUGGCACUUAAUUACUAAAAAUCCAAUUGCUGCCAGAGUGUUGAGAAUGGUAAUUUUUGAAUAGGUAUUAGCUUUACCAUAUUUGGCCGCUGUAAAAACUGAUGAUAUUCUAUCAAUGGAGGAUGGAUUUCAAACAAUUGUUGAUUACAUAAACCAAUAUCCCAAUUUAAUAAUGUGUUUUGAGGAGUUUUUAUUUGAUUAUAUUUGGAGAUAUUGGUUUGAAACGAUGGGACCUACAGCAAUAACAGUUUUUAAGAGAGAUAUUCAAACAAAUAACUUUGUUGAAAGUUACCAUGCUUCAUUGUGAAGGCUCAUCAAACCUUAUCCCAAAGUGUGGGAAUUCCUUAGUAGGAUUUAACUCUAACUUUUAAUUUUGUUCUAAAUGUAAACUAAUAGUGGCAGUUAAAUAUGCACCUAAUACAGUAAAUAAUUGUUAAUUAACAUGAAUAAUAUUUAAAUUUUUAUAGUCUUCUAUCCUAAGGUAUCAAUGUUUUAAUUGCAAGAUGUUCCAUGAUAAAGACUAAGUGUAUUUUAACCAAAAUUAUAUUAAUAUGUUUAUUGUAUUAAUUUGUUACCUAACCAAAGGAUGUACAUUGUAUAGUGUAUGUGAUAUAAGUAAGUCUAAAACCAUAAUUGUAAAUGUAUUUUUUUUUUUAGAUUGUUUUUGUGAGUAAAUUACUAAUAAUUUUGUUAAGUAUAGACAGUAUAGUGUAGUGGUUUUCAAACUUUUAUUAUACACGGCAUACCUGUAUACUUCAAAAAAUUUUCACGGCACACUGACUUUUUUUUAGAUGAACAAAAUUGUUUUGAAUUAAUUAUUAAUUUAAUUUUUUAUAUCACAAUUCAAUGCAAUCAGUAAUUCAUGGGAAAACUAUGGCACCCAGUUUGAAAACCAUUGGUGUCUGGUAUAGUGUAUGAAUCUGCAAUUUUUUUAUUGCAAGAUGUUCUACAAUAACAGCAAUGUAUUAAAAGCAAAAUUAUACUUAUAUGUUUUUUGUAUUAAUUUGUUACCUAACCUAAGGUAUAAGUGAGUCUAAAAUUGUAUUUAAAAAUGUAUUAUUUUUAUUAUUUUAUAUUUAUUGUGAUGAAAUGGCAAUUAUUUAAUCUAAUUAGUUCUUAAAUUCUUUAAUUUUUUUAUAGAUCAACUACUGUUUUUAGAAAAUCAGUCAUUUGUUGAAUUCAGACAACUAUAACAAAAUUUGAAGAUUCAAAAUGGAGGCUCAACGCAGGAAAGAACAGUUAAUACUGAAGCAAUUAAAGAUUUUUUGGUAGAUUACACUCAAGAUCUAAAUUCAGAUCACCUUCUAUAUUUUUUGAGACGUGCAAAGACACAGAGUAGAUGAUUAUAUUAUACAAAAGAUAGGUUUAGGUGCUUAUCCAAGUGCAGAGGUUUAAUAUAUUAGAGUUGUUGGUUCACAGUUAAUACCAUUUGGCAUCCACCCACUUAUUACAAAAACUUUCUUAAUUUUACAAUAUUUUUGACAAUUAUUAUUUUAUUAUUAUUAUAUACAUUUUUACUAACUAAAUUAAAUAGGUACUAAAAAAACAUGUUUACCAGCCCCUUUAAAUUUCAUUUUACAUAAAUUAACAUAAUCUAAUAUUAAAAAAAAAAAAAACACACAUCAUUGUAAAAUCAUAUUUCAAUUCACUUCGUUCAGAAUCUAAUAAUAAAAAAUGACAUAAUGGCCCAAUAAUAUGAAGCAAAAUAAAAUUUAAUUUUGAAUAAUAUAGGAAUUUAACUAAAUUAACAAAAUACAGAAUAGUUUACAAGCUUACCCUACUGUAUUACACCUAAGACCUAACCUAAUCAAUAAUCAUACAAAACUUUCGCAACUCGCAUGUUAACUGAAAUUCGAGUCUCGAGAUCAGUGAAUAUUGAAUUAUUGAAUAAAAUGAUAAAUAAGAAUGCCAAUAGGUUAUUGUUUUUAGGAAUUUGUAUUAAUUUUAGAUUUUAGAAAUAAAACAAUGAAAUAAUUAAUAA